rnacentral:rRNA from 1 species
UACGGGGGGAGCAAGCGUUGUUCGGAUUUACUGGGCGUAAAGGGCGCGUAGGCGGCGCAACAAGUCACUUGUGAAAUCUUCAGGCUUAACCUGAAGCGGCCAAGUGAUACUGUCGUGCUAGAGUGCGGAAGGGGCAACUGGAAUUCUUGGUGUAGCGGUGAAAUGCGUAGAUAUCAAGAGGAACACCUGCGGCGAAGGCGGGUCUCUGGGCCGAUACUGACGCUGAGGAGCGAAAAGCGUGGGGGAGCGAACAGG